CGUGUUUACAGCCUUGGAGAGCGUUGCAUAUCUGACAUUUCUCUCUCAAACUCCAACCAGCUCUGUUCUCAUCCGAAAGCAGCAGAGAGAAGACAGAAACGAGAAGAGGUCACCGUUUUGUGUUGCGUAAACCAGGACUUAACCACUUCGG